rnacentral:rRNA from 1 species
CCCUUAGAUGUUCUGGGCCGCACGCGUGCUACACUGAUGCAUUCAACGAGUCUAAAACCUGGUCUGAUAGGGCUGGGUAAUCUUUUGAAAGUGCAUCGUGAUUGGGAUAGAUGAUUGCAAUUCUUCAUCUUCAACGAGGAAUGCCUAGUAAACGCAAGUCAUCAGCUUGCAUUGAUUACGUCCCUGCCCUUUGUACACACCGCCCGUCGCACCUACCGAUUGGAUGGUCCGGUGAAGCCUCGGGAUUGUGGUUCUUGCCGCUUUGUUGUGGCGUGACCGCGAGAACUUGUCUAAACCUUAUCAUCUAGAGGAAGGUGAAGUCGUAACA